rfam:Epulopiscium sp. SCG-B11WGA-EpuloA1 SCGB11WGA_39, whole genome shotgun sequence.
GGUCAAGCUACAAAGAGCGUAGAGUGAAUGCCUUGGCAUCAAGAGCCGAUGAAGGACGUGGUAAGCUGCGAAAAGCUUUGGUAAGCCGCAAACGGGCGUUAUAACCAGAGAUAUCCGAAUGGGGAAACCCAGUCAAGUAAACCUUGGCUAUUAUAUACUCAAUAAAUAGGUAUAUAAGGGGAACGUAGGGAACUGAAACAUCUAAGUACCUAUAGGAGUAGAAAGAAACAUCGAUUUCCUAAGUAGUGGCGAGCGAACGGGAAACAGGCCAAACCAGAUUAUAAAUAAUCUGGGGUUGAGGACUGCGACAUGGCAAGAUUGAGGAUAACAGAAUUGUUUUGGGAAAGCAAACCAUAGAAGGUGAAAGUCCUGUAAGUGAAAUCCAAGAGAAGCCUAGCAAGAUCCAGAGUACCACGAGACACGAGAAACCUUGUGGGAAGCAGGUGGGACCACCCUCCAAGCCUAAAUACUACUUGAUGACCGAUAGAGGAUAGUACUGUGAAGGAAAGGUGAAAAGAACCCCGGGAGGGGAGUGAAAGAGAACCUGAAACUCUAUGUUUACAAGCAGUGGAAGUACGAUUUAACGUACGACUACGUACUUAUUGUAGAACGGUCCGGCGAGUUAUUUGUAGUGGCAAGGUUAAAUACAAGAAUGUAUGGAGCCGAAGGGAAACCAAGUCUGAAUAGGGCGAAUAGAGUCACUGCAAAUAGACCCGAAACUGGGUGACCUAUCCAUGUGCAGGUUGAAGUUACCGUAAAAGGUAAUGGAGGACCGAACUCACGUAUGUUGAAAAAUGCGGAGAUGACAUGUGGAUAGCGGAGAAAUUCCAAUCGAACCCAGAGAUAGCUGGUUCUCCUCGAAAUAGCUUUAGGGCUAGCGUUUAUUGAGUCUAAUGGAGGUAAAGCACUGAAUUUCCUAGGGGGGCGAGAGCCUUACCAAAGAAUAUCAAACUAAGAAUGCCAUAAAGAUACAAUAAGCAGUCAGACUAUGUGUGAUAAGAUUCAUAGUCAAAAGGGAAAGAGCCCAGACCAACAGCUAAGGUCCCAAAGUGUAUGUUAAGUGGAAAAGGAUGUGAGAGUUCAAAGACAACUAGGAUGUUGGCUUAGAAGCAGCCAUACAUUAAAAGAGUGCGUAAUAGCUCACUAGUCGAGAGGUCUUGCGCCGAAAAUGUCCGGGGCUAAAACAUACCACCGAAGCUAUGGAAUUAGCGAAUGCUAAUUGGUAGAGGAGCGUCGUAAAAAUGAAGAAGCCAUAUCGAAAGAAGUGGUGGAGAGAUUACGAGUGAGAAUGCCGGAAUGAGUAGCGAGAUAUAAGUGAGAAUCUUAUAGGCCGAAUAUCUAAGGUUUCCAGGGUAAAGCUGGUCUUCCCUGGGUAAGUCGGGACCUAAGGCGAGGACGAGAGUCGUAGUCGAUGGAUAACUGGUAGAAAUUCCAGUACUACCUAUUAUGAGAAAUGUAGGGACACAGGAAGAAGAGGGAAGCACGGAAUGGAAAACCGUGUGAAAAUACAAAGGUGCAUCUUUGAGGAAAAACCCAAGGACGAGACUGAAGUAUGAUAGGACCGAACAAAAGUAGGGAAGUCCCAUAAUCUAAACUGUCAAGAAAAGCUGCUAUUAAAUAAUAGGUACCCGUACCGUAAACCGACACAGGUGGAUGAGGAGAGAAUCCUAAGGCCGACGGGAGAAGUGUUGUUAAGGAACUCGGCAAAAUGACCCCGUAACUUCGGGAGAAGGGGUGCCAAGGGAAACCUUGGUCGCAGAGAAAAGGCCCAAGCAACUGUUUAACAAAAACACAGGUUUCUGCUAAAUCGAAAGAUGAAGUAUAGGAGCUGACGCCUGCCCGGUGCUGGAAGGUUAAGGGGAGAGGUAAGGAAACGAAGCUUUGAACUUAAGCCCCAGUAAACGGCGGCCGUAACUAUAACGGUCCUAAGGUAGCGAAAUUCCUUGUCAGGUAAGUUCUGACCCGCACGAAAGGCGUAAUGAUUUGGGUACUGUCUCGACAGCACGCCCGGUGAAAUUGUAGUACCAGUGAAGAUGCUGGUUACCCGCGACAGGACGGAAAGACCCCGUGGAGCUUUACUGUAGCUUGAUACUGAUGUUGGGUGUUGCAUGUACAGGAUAGGAGGGAGACAGAGAAGUUGGGACGCUAGUUUCAAUGGAGUCGAAGGUGGGAUACCUCUCUUGUAACACUUAAUGUCUAACGUGAUAAGGAGAAACACUUAUACGGACAAUGUCAGGUGGACAGUUUGACUGGGGCGGUCGCCUCCGAAAGAGUAACGGAGGCGUUCAAAGGUAACCUCAUAAUGGUCGGAAACCAUUAGAAGAGUAUAAAGGCAGAAGGUUGCUUAACUGAGACACAAACAAGUGGAACAGAUACGAAAGUAGGACUUAGUGAUCCGGUGGUAAAAGAAAGUGGGAUUGCCAUCGCUCAACGGAUAAAAGCUACCCCGGGGAUAACAGGCUAAUCUCCCCCAAGAGUUCACAUCGACGGGGAGGUUUGGCACCUCGAUGUCGGCUCAUCGCAUCCUGGAGCUGAAGCAGGUUCCAAGGGUUGGGCUGUUCGCCCAUUAAAGCGGUACGCGAGCUGGGUUCAGAACGUCGUGAGACAGUUCGGUCCCUAUCCGUCGUGGGCGCAGGAAAUUUGAGAGGAGCUGUCCUUAGUACGAGAGGACCGGGAUGGACGGACCGCUGGUGAAUCUGUUAGACUGCCAAGUCUACAGCAGAGUAGCCAAGUCUGGAAAAGAUAAACGCUGAAGGCAUCUAAGCGUGAAACAGACCUCAAGAUAAGAUUUCCCAAUUAAUUAAGACCCCUUGAAGACGACAAGGUAGAUAGGUUGGAGGUGGAAGUGCAGCAAUGCAUGGAGCUGACCAAUACUAAUGGUACGAGGGUUUGACCUA